GGCCAGGGUUACAACAGAGUGGACUUAUGCCUGGAGCUCCCUGAGCUGCUGUAUCAUUCAUUGAGAGGAUCCUGGUACCGGAAACCUGGUCUUGGAAUGACUGACUAAAAUGCAUGUGAGAAGAUGUGUAAAGAAAAUGCCUUGGAAGUAAGAUGCAGCAAAUUCUUCCAGAUAGUCAUCAAUUAUUAUCUCUCCUACCUCUGGAAAGGGAUAUCUUUGAAUAUGGACAAUACAAAAGUGAAUCAUGGAGUCAACUGAAGUAAAGAUAGCUGAGCCACCAGAUGUCAGAGUUGGAAAUUAAAACCACUAGCCAAAAUGAAAG